rnacentral:piRNA from 1 species
AAUCGGUUUUUGUUAGAAUUCACU